rnacentral:tRNA from 1 species
GGGGUUGUAGCUCAGCUGGUUUAGAGCGCCUGCCUGUCACGCAGGAGGUCGAGGGUUCGAGCCCCUUCAAUCCCGCCA